AUGACCCAGAUUUUUAAAAUCUAUUUAUUAUUAUAUAAGUGAUUUUCCUCAAGGAAAAGAAUAAGAUGUAAUAUUUUAUUCCAGUUUAAUUAAAUCCAAGUGUUAUAUUUAAAUUCCGGGUUAUUGUGUUAUUGGUAUAUAAUUGUUCCUUUAAAAUUGAGUUUCAUAUAUUAUUUUUAAAAAAAAAAAAAAAAAUUCUAAAUGAUUAUUAUGUGAUUAUAUUCUCGAGAGUCGGUGUAUUUUAUUUCUAUUGGAUUGUUGAGCUGUGUUAUCGAUUUGCAUUUGUUACGGAUUUUAUAUUGAUUUAAUUAUAUAAAAUAGUGUAUUGCAUAUAAAAUCUUUUUUAUCGCUUUAUAAUUCCAUUAAAUAUUUUUAGAGAUUUAUAAAAUUCAUAAAACGAUAUUUUGAUCAUUCUUCAGCUCUAAAUGAUUUUCCGUAUAGAUUAAAGUGGGGUCUUUCUAUCUAUUUCAAAAAUGAUCCAAAAAUCGUGAAAAUCGUAUUUUAUUAGUUUUUAAUUAUUUUAAGAUUUCUAAAGUUAUUUUGGUAUUUAUCGGGAUUAUUUUAUCUGUGAGUUUGUUCGUUAAUUUGUCAAAUUCAGUCUGGAGCCAUCCAGAUCUGUGAGGACACGCGUCAAAAUUCCUAAUACGUGUCCAAUUGCUACAUUUUCAGUUUAUAAUUAUAUUUUUAAUUCAAAAUAUCAAUCUCUCCCGGUCUCCCUCGCUCUCCUUCAUCUCUCCCACUCAACCUCGGUCUCUCUGUCGGUUUUCUCUCCCUCGCGCAUCUCCCUCUCUCCAGCCACCGUUCCAGUCGCCGCCACUCCGCCCCGAUCUCUCCACCUCCGUUUUCGUCGCCGUCAUUGCGCCGAUUCCGGCACCGCCAGUCUCUGUCUCUCCCUGUUUCCUGCUCGUUUUCUACUGUUUUGGGGCUGCUGGGUAUCGUAUGUAUAUGCGUGCGAUUGGUGUGUGUAUAAUCUGAUGUGUGUGUAUAUAUCAGUAUAGUGUGUGUAUAUAAUUCGAGUGUGUGUGUGUGUAUUCUGGUGUCUGUGAGUAGAAUCAGCGUGUGUGCUCAGUACGCGUGCGUGUGUGCAGGUGGGUGUUUUCGUGAGUAAUGGUUUAGUAUUGAUGUUGAUUCCCGUGGCUUUCUGAUUUCCAAAUUCUUUUCUUUAUCCUUUGUGUUUGAUAUUUAGUCGAGUAAUCUGCCUAAUUUAGUUGGUAACUGUAUUUAAGUGGUUCGUAGUUAAUUACAAGUUUGUUUGGAGUAUUUGUUGGAUUGGUUGGUAUUUGUAAUUGGGAUUAUUUGGAGAUUGAUUACAGGUUAUUUUGGGAUUUGUUGUGUCGAUAUGAUAUCGACUGGUAGUUCGAUAAAUAGAGGAGGUGCUGCCCAAUUUUCAAAUAAAAUUUAGAUUUUUAAAAUUAUACGGGAGCAUAUCUUAUAAUUAUCGGGCUAUUAAUCGAAUUUAUAUAGUUACUGAUUAGUAAUAUUUCUAUAAAAUCUAUAAAUAAUAUUUAUGUGAUUUGGUAGUAAUAGCAGUACUACAUAGCAUUAUUAUUGAUGUUAAUGUGUGAAACUGUGUUUACUUGGUAAUUUUAAGAUGUCGAAUAUUAAUAAAUAUUAGUAUUAUUCUUUAGUAUUAUUAUUACUUUCACUAGUAAUAAUAAUAGUAAAUAAUAAUAUUAAUAAUAUAAAUAUGCGAUAUCUUAAAUAGUUAUAGCGCUAUGCUUAUUUAAUUCAACUUGUAUAUAUUUGAAUUGAAUAGUAUCUAAAUUGAGUAUUAUGGUAAGUGGUAAGUAAAUGUAUGGAAAUAUGUGAUACCUGCUAAGUGCUACGUGUUAAAUGUUAGAGUGUUAUUCUUGAUAGUAUAAUGUAUUAAUAUUGAAUUACUUUCAAUUUUAAAGAUAAGCUGUUAGUUUCUUUCAAUCAUUAUGUGUUUAGGUGCCGCAUGUCUGGGCGGAUUAUUUAUCAUUAUGUGUUAGGUGCCGCAUGUCGGGGUGGGUACUUUUCUUAUGUGAUUUACUACAUGUCGAGGCAGAUUUUCUUUAUAUUAGUAUUUUAUAUAGUUUAAAGAGCUUGAUUUGAUUGAUUUGAAAACAGGGGGAUAGUCCUAUUUACGAAUAGGUCAUGCCGAAUUUUCCGUAGAAAUAUUAACUUAAGACGCGUUCUCGUGUUAAAUAAUAUUCUGAGUUGGUUGUAAGUUAUAAAACUAUAAUGUGUGCUACUUGUUAUGUGCUAUAUAAUGUGCCGUGUAUAUAUAUAUCGCGAAAGGGUAGAAAUAGGAUAGUUGUUUCGGGAGGAUACUAAAGUAGUAUCUUUUUGCUUAUAAUAGGAUCGAGCAUGAAAUUACACACCUAGAGGGGGGGUGAAUAGGUGUUAUGGCUAAUAUACCCGAUUUUUAUAAGUUACCGAAUAAUUAAUCUGUCAAAGACAGCCUGCUGUUAAUUUUCAGAGUAAACUGUUAGCCUGCUAAUAAGAUAAAUGCAAUGCAGAUAAUGUAAAGCAGUAUGCUAGCAACACCAAGAAUUUUAGCCAGGUUCGACCCCUAACCCUAAUGGUCUACGUCCUGGUCCCCUACCAACUGGUAAGAGAUUAUAUUAUUAAUCAAUAAUAUCAACGAUUACAAGAUUCAAUAAUAUAACUCCCUUUUUCCCUUGUUCCUGUUAUCAGCCUGCUGAAACCCCUGAACCACGAACCAAAAGCCUACCAAGACCUAUACUUCCCAAGUAUAUUCUCCUAGCUAACUAGUUCCCUUGUUCCCUUGUUUCACAAGCUGGAUACACAGCAACAACACAUUACACCUUGAACAAUACAAUGAAUAAGUGUAAUACAACCGAAACUAUGAACUCUCAAUAUAGAUAUAUACACGAAUAUAAGUACUAGAGCUCAACAAAAGAUUUAGCAAUGUAAAGAGUUGUAUUUCAGAAAGCUUGGUGUGUUCUCCUUGUUCUCUAAAACCGAAACCACACUCAAGUUUAUAUACAUCAUACCAACGGUCAUAAUCCAACAAAUUUCCCAACGAUCUUGGUAACAACCUCACGUUUAAAUUUGAAUUGAAUGAUGAACGUUUGAAUGAAGUAAGAUUACUGAGUAAAAGAUAAAAUCGUUUGAAAACAUCUCAGUAAAGAAUUUAAAUAAAAUCCGUUUGAAACUAAAUAGGAGUUUGUUAAAGAUAAGAUUCUUUGAGAUAAAAUCUCCUAUUUGUUAGGAAAACGUUUUUGAACAAAACUCUUUAUAAAACUGAGCUCUAAUAUUUAUAUCAGAUAUAUAUAAAUAUUAGAAUCCUUACAAAGUCGUUUCCUAUUAAAUCUCCUUGAAAAUAGACUUUGAUCUUUAUCCGAUUGUUUCUCUGUUCACGCUGUAAGCCUGCUGAUAGCUUGUAAAUAUUCCUGUAAGCUUGCUGACAGCUAUAAUCAUGCUAACAUCCUGAAAUACUGUUAGUCCGCAUAAACAACCUUUGAUAGCAUGCUUUCACAUAUCAGUUCCAUGUUAUUAGCUUGCUGUUAGUGUCAUCAUGAAAACCUAGAGAGUAUCAAUCUCCCCCUUUUUGAUGAUUACACUAUAUUAGGAAAAGUAAUAAACUCCCCCUAAAUAUAGCAAUCUAAUAUCACUAAACUUUCACAAUUAUCACAGAGAAUAAAAUCUAGCAGAUAUAUCUAAUUCACAGAUAUGCAAAAUUUAACACAGAAACAAUUAAUCUAAGCAAAUUGCAUAGAUAUUUCAAAUAAUCCUAACCAGGAUAAACCACCUGGUAUCCAAAAUAUUAUCCAAACAACUUAAACAAAUUAACUCAGGAUAAACCACCUGAGAUCACCAAAUUCAAAUCCAACCAGCACAGAACAACUUAGUCUUAAAGCAAAUAAAAACUUAGGGCCAAUAAUGUACUUAAGCAGAUUAAACAAACUUAAGUAAAAGUAUUAUUAAUUUCCUAAUUUCCUCCCCCUUAAUCAUUAAAAAGGUUAGAAAAUCAGGUUCCAGCCUUGUCCUGCGCGUCCUUCUCCAGACCAUACUUCUUUGCAAGUUCUGCCGCAAUCGCGUUCCUAGCCAACAUCUCUUUUCCUGCAGCAGCAUACUUGGAGUCUGUGCCAGCAGCUUCCUUGAGCACAUCCAUACAUGUUCUCUGCCGUGGACUAUCAGUAGCAUCAUCCUCUGAAGUGAAAGUAGCCUUCACAUCUGAUGAACCUCCAGAGCCAUACAUCCUUUUGCAGAGCUCGUAAGCGAAGCUCCCAGAACUGCACUUUUCAGACGCAGUAGACGUGCGAGCACCAAACAUCAUAUCCUUCCAAAAACCAACCUGAGAAACCAACUCAGCCAUCUGCUCAGACAGCUGUUUCUGCCCAUCCACCACUUCCUUGUGAUUUGAUCGAAGUUCAUUCAUGUAAUCAUGAAUCUCCUGUGCAGAGAUUCCCAAAUCCACAACAUUCACAGAUUGAGCAGGGGAUGGGGGUGAAGGUACUUCAACAACCAACAAACCAUCUUUAUCCAACUUGAGAUUUGACUGAGCCAAGAAUUUGGCAUCAAGAAAUUCUUUGGCCGUCACACUCUCCUCAUCAGCAAACGAAACCCCAAACCAUUCAAACACUCUCGUCAACAAUAACCCAUAAGGCAAACCACCAGAAGACUUCCCUUCCACAGAAUCAAUCAUAUUUUUCAGAAUCAAGUCUGGCAAAUCAAACUUUCUCCCAGCCAGAAUCAUGGAAACAACAACAAUAUCCUGCGAUGACAAAUUGGACCUAGUACCUAACCUAGGACUCACAUUCUCAAUUGACAUCUUGAACAGAGCUUGUGCUAGUGGUACUAACUGUGUAGUAGAUGGAAAAACACCCUCAGAAACACUUUCAAGACCAGUGAUCAUCUUCAACUGAUCCUGAUGAGAAAAACCCUCAAUAUUUUUCGGGCCGCGUUUGGUGUGAAUAGACACAGUAGAUGGUGGAACUCGCAAAAUAGCACCCAAAAACAUGGAAGAUAAACAUAUCUUGACAUCAGACACAUAUGACACAUAUUGAUCAGACCCAGUAGAUUGAAGAUUUGCAUAAAAUUCUCGCACUAAAGCAGGGUAACACAACUUAGGCAAAUCAACCAGAAAAGAUUGAAACCCUAGAUCCUCAAACAACUUGACAAUCCCACAAUUAUAAAAGGCUUUUCCAGAAAGGGGCUUACCCAAGAUAACCUUUCGGCCGGCGAGACCGCGAACAGCUAACAUCUCGGACUUGGGUUUCUUCUGAGUAGACUCGAUUCCAACCUCAUCUCGAUUUACCCCAGAAAUCUCAUCACCGCUCUCAACAGUCACGAACUCUUCAUCUUCCUCAUCAAUCAGCUUGCGCUUUUGAGAAACAGAGGAUGGCUGAGGAGUAUGUGCCUUCACAUUUGCUCUAGUUUUCUUCCUCAUCGCGAGCCGUAAGCCGAUUGUUGCUAUGGUGAUGACAAAACCUUUUCGGAGAUAGUGUGAGAAAACCCUAGCUUCUCGGGGAGGGUUGAAUAAGUAGUUGAAGAGGCGUGGAGUGAGUAGAGUUUUUAACACUCUUUUAACAAUUAUCAGGGGAGGAUUUUUAGGAAUAAUCCUUAGCAAUUCAUGCGAAGAUUGGUCGUUGGGGAUCUCUAGAAAGCCCGUUUUAUGAGAUUUCUGAGAGAUCAAAAGGGGCACGGAUGCUUUAUUUAUCACCAGGUAAAGAUGAAUACUAUAUGGUAGCGGCGGGAAAUCCUUUGGCUUUGAAUCAGGGUCUUCAGGAAGAACAGGUUGUUCCAGUUCGAUAUCGUCAAGAAUUCAAAGUGGAGUCAGAUAGAAUCUUAGGCAUACGGUUACCGCCCCGAGCUGAACCAUUUAGGUUCAUUACAGCUGGGCACUACUGGGCGCUGCUUCCUCAAUUCACAAUCCGACUUCACUAUGAAAGACGAAUAAUUUCUUAUAGAACAUCCUGUAUACGAUAUUUGAAGUAAAUUCGUUUUCAUUGCUUUCAUUGCAACUUAAAUUAUGAUCACCUCAACUUCUCGACGCUUUCUUUCUUCGACGUGAGGCGCUCUCCCUUUACUGAAAGCAAGUAAUGAAUAAAAACAGGAGUAGAUUGUAAUAAGAACGGGAUUGAUUGCACGCACCGGAUCACCUCUACCUUCAAGUUCUGCUUCGGGGAGACUUUUGUUCAAAUGCCAUAAUAAAUCGAACAAAGCCGUAGCUAUAGAUCAGGGAUCGGAAUGUAAGUACUUGUAACAAUAGUCACCUCCUUCCACAGGUCGAGAUAGGGCUCUCUGAGAUAGGCUACCAUCAAAAGAGCGCAGAACUCAGCUAAAACAUUAACGAGAACAUAGACUAUAACACAAAACUCACUUAGCGAGAGAACAUCUGCUUUCUUUCUUGGAAUCAUGAGUUUGCAAUCGAGAGGGAGCUUGCAAAGCUGCUCAAUCAUAGAGAGGCAAGAAGGGGGAAUGGAAUAAAGUAGGCUAUAGUGACGCUUGGCGCAACUAAGUCUUUUAAUUGUAGCAGCCAGCACCACGGUUCGAGCUCAACCGAGCUGAGGAGAUGCUGGGCACCCCAACAAUCCCCCCCCCAGCAUCUGCCAGCACUAACACGGCUGCACAGCAUGCCUUCCCGGGGAAUCGAACCCGUGACCUGCUCUGAUACCAACUUUUAUUCUUCUUUUCGAUCAUUCUCUUGAUUUUUCUGGACAUAAGAGCUAGAUCCUCAUCUGAUUCUGUUUCCUCAUCUGAUUCCAGCUUGCUGACAGAGGAGUGCAGUGCAAGAUUCUUCAUUUUCUCUGUUGGCAGCUUGCUGCUUUCUGAGCUGUUAGCUUCAAUCUUAGCUUCAAAUUGUUCCAACUCAGCAAAUAUAGCCAGGUGAUCCAUAGUAUCAAUGUUGAGAGCUGACUCCAAUGCUGUGACCUUGGCACCAUAUUCGAACGGAACUGCAUUUAGAAUAUUCAUGUUGAUUUCCGAUUGUGGAAUCUUUUUGCCAAGUCUUUCAAGACUGUUGAGAGUGACUUGGAAUCUAGCUUGGCUUUCUCGAAUGGAUUCUCCCUUCUUGAUAGCAAAGCUUCCAAAUUCUUUCAUAAGCUUUCCGAGCUUGACUUUCUUUAAUGCCUUUGAGCCUUCGUGAUAUGUCUCCAAUGCAUCCCAAAUUUCUUUUGCGGAUUUGAGAGAAGAGACCUUGUCAUAUUCAGCUUGAUUCAGCCCAUUGAUUAAUGUACUCCUUGCUUUUCCAUUGGCAGCAACCUUUGAAAGCUCGUCCGAUGUGAGAACAUCAACGUCCUUGACUUUGCCAUCGCUAUCACGAUAUUCAUAAGGACCUCUUUGCACAACUCUUUGCAUUAGGGGAUCUCUGGAUAGAUGAGCCUCCAUUUGGCCUUUCCACCAAUUGUAGUUGUCAGAACCCGUGAGGAGGGGAGCUCUAAAAUCGGACUUUCCCUGAAAGUUAUCAGCCAUAUCGAUCGAUACUAUUCCUGUUACAGAAGUAUUAGUACAAACACAGCUCUGAUACCAAUUGAAAUUACACACCUAGAGGGGGGGUGAAUAGGUGUUAUGGCUAAUAUACCCGAUUUUUAUAAGUUACCGAAUAAUUAAUCUGUCAAAGACAGCCUGCUGUUAAUUUUCAGAGUAAACUGUUAGCCUGCUAAUAAGAUAAAUGCAAUGCAGAUAAUGUAAAGCAGUAUGCUAGCAACACCAAGAAUUUUAGCCAGGUUCGACCCCUAACCCUAAUGGUCUACGUCCUGGUCCCCUACCAACUGGUAAGAGAUUAUAUUAUUAAUCAAUAAUAUCAACGAUUACAAGAUUCAAUAAUAUAACUCCCUUUUUCCCUUGUUCCUGUUAUCAGCCUGCUGAAACCCCUGAACCACGAACCAAAAGCCUACCAAGACCUAUACUUCCCAAGUAUAUUCUCCUAGCUAACUAGUUCCCUUGUUCCCUUGUUUCACAAGCUGGAUACACAGCAACAACACAUUACACCUUGAACAAUACAAUGAAUAAGUGUAAUACAACCGAAACUAUGAACUCUCAAUAUAGAUAUAUACACGAAUAUAAGUACUAGAGCUCAACAAAAGAUUUAGCAAUGUAAAGAGUUGUAUUUCAGAAAGCUUGGUGUGUUCUCCUUGUUCUCUAAAACCGAAACCACACUCAAGUUUAUAUACAUCAUACCAACGGUCAUAAUCCAACAAAUUUCCCAACGAUCUUGGUAACAACCUCACGUUUAAAUUUGAAUUGAAUGAUGAACGUUUGAAUGAAGUAAGAUUACUGAGUAAAAGAUAAAAUCGUUUGAAAACAUCUCAGUAAAGAAUUUAAAUAAAAUCCGUUUGAAACUAAAUAGGAGUUUGUUAAAGAUAAGAUUCUUUGAGAUAAAAUCUCCUAUUUGUUAGGAAAACGUUUUUGAACAAAACUCUUUAUAAAACUGAGCUCUAAUAUUUAUAUCAGAUAUAUAUAAAUAUUAGAAUCCUUACAAAGUCGUUUCCUAUUAAAUCUCCUUGAAAAUAGACUUUGAUCUUUAUCCGAUUGUUUCUCUGUUCACGCUGUAAGCCUGCUGAUAGCUUGUAAAUAUUCCUGUAAGCUUGCUGACAGCUAUAAUCAUGCUAACAUCCUGAAAUACUGUUAGUCCGCAUAAACAACCUUUGAUAGCAUGCUUUCACAUAUCAGUUCCAUGUUAUUAGCUUGCUGUUAGUGUCAUCAUCAAAACCUAGAGAGUAUCAGAGCAUUGAGGGCGUGAUACCAAGCAAAGGCAAGAAAAGGGGAGAGUUGUAUAGCGGUUCAGUAGUUACGGAUUGUUCGAGACGAAUCGAACCAGACGUUGGGGAUCAAGACUGAAGUUAGAUAAGAUUCCGUAUCAGGCUGCAGCAAUCGCAUGAGCACCAUAGCAGAGAAUCAGGAAUAGUUGAGGGUGAUGUCUUGGGAAAGCAGAAUAAGAUAAGGAUGUUAGCUAAGAGUGUAUAAGCUAAGGACCAAAGAUAAUGUUAAAGAUGGUUCGCCUAUUUAGGCUAAGAAUAAGAGUAAGGCUAGGCGAGGAUUGCAAGUGAUUAAGUUUCAACCUGAUGGUCAGGAAGAGUAACCAAGAUCGAGUCUUUGGGACUAGUGGUAAUUGGAGUUGUCUAAAUUUGGUUUAGUUGUAAAAAUAUAUUUGUUAAUUUGGAUAUUGGUUAUCCUUCAUAUCGAGGUUUAGUUGAUAGUCUAGUUCAAGCUGUAAUCAGAUCUGUAGUUUUGUUUUCUGAUUUCAAUACUAUAACCUGUUUGCGAUCCUAUUUUAAAGGGGGUGAAAUUGAGUUUUAAUUUAAAUCAUUUUUUUUUAUA